CCUACGGGCUGCAGCAGUGGGGAAUAUUGCACAAUGGGCGCAAGCCUGAUGCAGCCAUGCCGCGUGUAUGAAGAAGGCCUUCGGGUUGUAAAGUACUUUCAGCGGGGAGGAAGGCGAUAAGGUUAAUAACCUUGUCGUUUGACGUUACCCGCAGAAGAAGCACCGGCUAACUCCGUGCCAGCAGCCGCGGUGAUACGGAGGGUGCAAGUGUUAAUCGGAAUUACUGGGCGUAAAGCGCACGCAGGCGGUCUGUCAAGUCGGAUGUGAAAUCCCCGGGCUCAACCUGGGAACUGCAUUCGAAACUGGCAGGCUAGGGUCUUGUAGAGGGGGGUAGAAUUCCAGGUGUAGCGGUGAAAUGCGUAGAGAUCUGGAAGAAUACCGGUGGCGAAGGCGGCCCCCUGGACAAAGACUGACGCUCAGGUGCGAAAGCGUGGGGAGCAAACAGGAUUAGAUACCCGGGUAGUC
rnacentral:rRNA from 1 species